rnacentral:rRNA from 1 species
GAUGAACGCUGGCGGCGUGCCUAAUACAUGCAAGUCGAGCGAACAGAUAAGGAGCUUGCUCCUUUGACGUUAGCGGCGGACGUGUGAGUAACACGUGUGUAACCUACCUAUAAUACUGGUAUAACUCCGGGAAACCGGUGCUAAUGCAGGAUAACCUGUUGAACCGCAUUGUUCUACAGUUAAAGUCUGCUUUUCUGUCACUUAUAGCUGGUCCCUCGCCUUAUUAGCUAGUUGGUGAGGUAACGGCUCACCAAGGCAACGAUACGUAUCCGACCUGAGAGGGGGAUCGGCCAAACUGGAACUGAGACACGGUCAAGAGGACUAAGGGAGGAAGCAGUAGGGAAUAUUACGAAAUGGGCGAAAGCAUGACGGAGCAACGCAGCGUGAGUGAUGAAGGUCUUCGGAUCGUAAAAAUCUGUUAUUAGGGAAGAAAAAAAGCGUAAGAAAAAGUGCGCGGCGUGACGGUAACUAAUCAGAAAGCAACGGCUAACUACGUG